AAAUCAUCUGGACCCAGGGAGGUCAAGGCAGCAGUGAGCCUUGAUUGUGGCCACUGCACUCCAGCCUGGGCAACAGAA
rnacentral:snRNA from 1 species